UCCCUGUGUGAUGCUUUUGAUGUAUGGGGCCAAGGGACCAUGGUCACCGUCUCUUCAGCCUCCAACAAGAAACCAGACGUCUUCCCCCUGACGCCCUGCUGCACCUCUGGGACCACAAUAGGCCCUGGCUGCCUGGUCAAGGACUAACUCCCCCAGCCGGUGACCGUGUCCUGGAACUCGUGCGCCCUGACCAGCGGCUGUGCACACCUUCCCGGCUGGUCCUGCAGUCCUCGGGGCUCUACUCCCUCAGCAGCAUGGUGACCACCAGCAGCGCGGGCAGCCAGACCUACACCUGCAAUGUUGUCCACACGCCCACCAGCUUCAAGAAGGACCUGAUAGUGAAACCUCCUCCUUGUGACACACCCUGUCCGCCAUGCCCAGCACCUGAUUUCCUGGGGGGACCGCAGUCUUCCUUUCCCCCCGAAACCCAAGACAUCCUCAGCGAUCUCCGGGAGCCCUGUAGGUCACGUGCGUGGUGGUGGACGUGAGCCAGGAGACGACCCGAGGUCCAGUUCAACUGGUACGUGGACAACGUGGAGUGUGCGCACUGCCAAGACGAGUCCAAGGGAGGAGCAGUUCAACAGCAAGUUCCGCUGGUCAGCGCCCUCCCCGUCGUGCACCAGGACUGGCUGAAGGGCAAGGAGUACAAAUGCAAGGUCACCAACAAAGCCCUCCCGGCCCCCGUCCAGAAAACCAUCCGCAAAGCCAAAGGAACGCCCCGAGAGCCACAGGUGUACACCCUGCCCCAUCGCGGGAGGAGAUGAGCAGGAGGCCAGGUCAGCCUGACCUGCCUGAUCCAGGGCUUCUACCCCAGCGACAUCGCCGUGGAGUGGGAGAGCAACGGGCAGCCAGGAGAACAACUACAAGAACACGCAGCCUGUGCUGGACUCGGACGGCUCCUUCUUCCUCUACAGCAAGCUCACCGUGGACAAGCACAGGUGGCAGCAGGGGACCGUCUUCUCGUGCUCCGUGAUGCACGAGGCUCUGCACAACCACUACACGCAGAAGAGCCUCUCCGCGUCUCCAGAGCUGAUACUGGAGGAGAGCUGUGUGGAGGCGCAGGACGGGGAGCUGGACGGGCUGUGGACGACCAUCACUAUCUUCAUCACACUCUUCCUGCUGAGUGUGUGCUACAGUGCCACUGUCACCUUCUUCAAGGUGAAGUGGAUCUUCUCCUCGGUGGUGGACCUGAAGCAGACCAUCGUCCCCGACUACAGGAACAUGAUUGGGCAGGGGGCCUAGGACCACCCUCUGCUGCAAGUCCACGGCACAGGAGCCAUGGGCCACGCUCAGCCGCCACCCAGGCCACGCCUGCCCCUGACCUCGCCGCCCUCAGCCCCAUGGCUCUCCGGCCUCACAGCCGCCCUCUGACCUGCCGCACCCGAUGUGCCCCCCUUUGAGCCUGUGCAUAGCAGGUCUGUCCCAGAUCUCUGCUGCUUGGUGCAUGCAGGGCGCUGGAGCCAGGUGUCCCCUCAGCAGGACACGUCUGCCCUCCAGCCCCCCAGCUGCUCACACAAAAGGAGGCAGCAGCCGGCAUCCCAGGCGCCCACCCAGGCAAGAACCAGCCUGGAGCCAAUCCCAUCCACACCAGCCUCCUGAACACAGGUGUGGCCAGUGGGAGCUUCCGCCACCAAGCCAGGAAGUCACAGCACCCUCAGGCCCUGCUGGGAAGGCUUCGGAGAGCGGAGAAUGCUCAGACGGCC